AGAGUUUGAUUAUGGCUCAGGACGAACGCUGGCGGCGUGCUUAACACAUGCAAGUCGAACGGAAAGGCCCUGCUUUUGUGGGGUGCUCGAGUGGCGAACGGGUGAGUAACACGUGAGUAACCUGCCCUUGACUUUGGGAUAACUUCAGGAAACUGGGGCUAAUACCGGAUAGGAGCUCCUGCUGCAUGGUGGGGGUUGGAAAGUUUCGGCGGUUGGGGAUGGACUCGCGGCUUAUCAGCUUGUUGGUGGGGUAGUGGCUUACCAAGGCUUUGACGGGUAGCCGGCCUGAGAGGGUGACCGGCCACAUUGGGACUGAGAUACGGCCCAGACUCCUACGGGAGGCAGCAGUGGGAAUAUUGCACAAUGGGCGGAAGCCUGAUGCAGCGACGCCGCGUGCGGGAUGACGGCCUUCGGGUUGUAAACCGCUUUCGCCUGUGACGAAGCGUGAGUGACGGUAAUGGGUAAAGAAGCACCGGCUAACUACGUGCCAGCAGCCGCGGUAAU
rnacentral:rRNA from 1 species